UGGCUAUUUUAGACAUCGACCAAUGUCUCAUUACGUUAAGGACUGAUUUUGGCCCCCAACUAAGUCGAAACUAACUGAAAAUGUUUUUGCAGGAAAAUGCGCUAACCAGGCAAGAUCACCCUGUCAAACGAGAGUUGUCAUAAUAGGCUGUGCACGUGGCCAUAUAUUCCAUAGCAGUUAGAAGAUCCAGAGAGUCUCCGCACACGAUUCACUAGUAUAACACCAGACUGAUAGUUUCAAAAAAAAAAAACACCAGACUGGUCCUACCUGUUUUGUUUAGGAGUAGUGUAUCAGC
rnacentral:lncRNA from 1 species